rnacentral:rRNA from 1 species
CAGUAGCCGCGGUAAUACGAAGGGGGCUAGCGUUGUUCGGAAUCACUGGGCGUAAAGGGCGCGUAGGCGGCUUUGUAAGUCGGGGGUGAAAGCCUGUGGCUCAACCACAGAAUUGCCUUCGAUACUGCAUGGCUUGAGACCGGAUGAGGUUAGUGGAACUGCGAGUGUAGAGGUGAAAUUCGUAGAUAUUCGCAAGAACACCAGUGGCGAAGGCGGCUGACUGGUCCGGUUCUGACGCUGAGGCGCGAAAGCGUGGGGAGCAAACAGGAUUAGAUACCCGUGUAGUCCUGUCUCUUAUACA